rnacentral:lncRNA from 1 species
UUGUUGUUUUGUUUGUUUGUUUUUUUUAGCUGUGAGAAAUUUUGGCCAGAUUAGAAAGGCUUUGUUACCCGUAAUUUGGAAUUCUCACUCAGAUUGGAUCAAGUCUGGUAACAAGAGUGAGAUUCCAUCUCAAAAAAAAAAAAAAAAGUUCAAUUGCCCACUUAGGAUGGAAAGCAGGCUUUUGUGGAUGCAAAGUCCAAUCAGCCAGUUGUAGGAUUUGGGAAGCUGACACAGAAACUUGCUGGUCUGAAGCUCUUCAGUGUGGGGUCUCUGCAUUGGCUGUUUCCCUGCAUAACCCCAGCUUGCCCUCCUUGGGGGCAGGCCCUUUGCCUCCCACUUGGGAGUGGCAAGGGCCCAUGUAGGCUUCAUGUCCAGAAACACCUGAGUUCUCUUUCCUGCCUCGUGUGACCCGGUUUGCUGCGGAUACCUUGCCUCUGCUGAGAAUGUUAGUACUGGGAAUGCCUGCCCCUUUGAGGGGAGCCCCUGCUGCUGCCUCACAGGAAAGCCCCCAGCUGUGACCUCUGCAAGAUGGUCAUGUUGCAAUGGAACACAGUGAGCCCAGCAGUGAGGAAGGAUGCGCACACUGUUUUCUUUUUUUCUGGAGUAGGAGUGCUUUCCAUGUGUCAUACCUUGACAGUGGAGAGGGCCCUUGAGAGAAGCCCCAAGUGUUUCUAGCAUUAAAAAAUGUCUCCAAGAUUCCAGGUUUAUACGUGAGCAUCUUGAUUUUGUGACAGUAUCGUAUGAGUUUGGUCCCUGGGAGUCAAGCCCCCUGUGCUCAGUCACCUCAGGGCAACUAAUUACUUGACUUUCAAGGCUGAGGGGACUGAGCACCCGCCUCCCACAGCCAUUUCUGUUCCCAAACUAAAAGUCAAGAAAGUGGUGUGUGAAGUUUGAGAACUUAAUAUUUACAGAGAAUAAGGCCUGGCACAAAACAUGAAGAUGGCAGACAGCUACCCUGAAGAGUCUUUGGGAGCCCUGCAGUGGAAAUAGCUGCAUGUUUAAGAAACACGCAUGCAACAGACUACAUUGAGAACA